rnacentral:tRNA from 1 species
GGAGGGGUGGCAGAGCGGUUGAUUGCAGCGGUCUUGAAAACCGCCAGACGGCAACGUCUCGUGGGUUCGAAUCCCACCCCCUCCG